UGCCUAAUAUCACCCCAGCGUGUCACACAUAUCUCUGCCUGGCCCUGUGACCCUCGCCCGAUCAGCUGACCAUCAACCAGCGGGGCGGUGAGACAUUCCGUCCCCGACCGGAGGGGAUGCCUUGGCCCGCGGAUCGCAUCGCCUCUCCCCGCGGAUCGCAUCGCCUCUCCCCGCUCUGCCAGCACUGCAACUCGUGGGACGGAGCAGGAGGUGGACUCCACUCCAGGAAACAAAAGUGACAUUUCCGCAUGUCUUCUGCCUUCCAAAGCUGGCGUCCGACCAAUGAGACUCAGAUUGUGGUUCUCCACUUAACGUUUCUGUCGAUGUCACGUGACUGCUUGCUUGCUUCAGAUGACACCGGUUGAUCGCCAGGUGUACGCAAGGUGUCUGUUUCUUCGAUAGUGGUUUGUGCAUCUCUAUGUUACUUCUAGAUGUUAGCUCCAAAACAAGUCGCACACAUUGAAAGAGGAAGUGUUAUUUGACGACAAGAAGGGGAUCAGUAGCCACUAUGCUGAAGCUGAAGACAAAGUUUGAUCUGCGGAGAGAUGUGGUGGCUGAUAUCCUCAGGAAAGAGCCGACUGUGGGGAGAGUCGAGACAGGGGGCAUCUGGGACCACUAGGAUUGGGAAAUAUGACCCGACCACAAAGGACAACAAGGUAACGUAUAUGCAUGCACAUGUUUCGUGUGUGUGUGACGUGUGUGUGACGUGUGUGUGUGUGCAUAAUGUGUUUGUGUCUUUGCAUGCAGAUAAGACUGUGUAUGUGUAUUUAUAUUAUUGCAUGCAAGUCUGUGUGUGUGGGUGUGUGUUUGCUCAUACAUGUUCUCCCAUCUUGUUUAAUAAUUGUGUGGGUGGGUGUAUACGCCCGUGUGUGUGCGUGUGUGCGUGUGUAUGUGUAUGCACAUGUAUGCGUGUAGCUCUUGUAUACGCUUGACCAGCAGGUGUGUGAGCAGUUGUUCUCUGAACAAGGAGGAGACACUCCUGGGUGAGAGAUAAAUCUACUAAAAACAAUUAAAUAUCCCCAAAUAAAACCACCUCAUAAACAUUAUUUGUGACUGCCUCACCAGGACCCAGUCCUUGGAGAUGUUUACUAGGCAGUUAGUCUGGGCCCUUUUAAAAUCCUUGAUUACAUUAAGGGGCUGGAGAUA
ensembl:lncRNA